rnacentral:rRNA from 1 species
GUGGAUUAGAUACCCUGGUAGUCCACACUGUAAACGAUGGAUACUAGGUGUAGGGUGUAUUAAGCACUCUGUGCCGCCGCAAACGCAUUAAGUAUCCCACCUGGGGAGUACGACCGCAAGGUUGAAACUCAAAGGAAUUGACGGGGGCCCGCACAAGCAGUGGAGUAUGUGGUUUAAUUCGAAGCAACGCGAAGAACCUUACCAGGGCUUGACAUAUACAGGAAUAAGUUAGAGAUAGCUUAGCUCUUCGGAGUCUGUAUACAGGUGGUGCAUGGUUGUCGUCAACU